UCCUCGACUCUGAGGUUAACUAGAUAUGCUUGUUAGUGUAUAGUAAUGUCUGAGCGGUGUAGUAGAGAGUGUUGCUGGGCUGAAAGAGAUUGUUAAGAGGGGACAUUGGAGCCACUUUCCUGAGUAUCGGAAGGAUCUCUCCGUUCGUAAGACGGCGGCAGCGAUGUGAGGGCAUGAGAACUCUCCCAACACACAACUGAAGACAGGGACAGAGAGACCGACAAAGAGCCUGAAAAGCCGCGAUGGCGACGAAGACGACCGCCGCUGAAGUCCUGACCGAAUCGCCCUGCAAAACCGGUCUUGUCCAAAGCAGGAUAAAGGGAGGGAUCCUGAAGAAAUUCAAGCAGCUCUACGCCAAGCUCUACAGGACAUCCCGGAGCGGUGUGGCCCGGCUGGAGCUCUAUUCGGACGGGAAAGCUUCGGUGUCAGGUCCGCCGUGUCAGGUCAUCGUGGCAUCGGAGGUCACGAAGGUGGCAACUUGCGGGCCGCUGUCGUUUCAGGUCGCGAUCAAGGACCAAGUGAAUGACUUCUCCGUCGACAGCAAUGCGGAAAGGAAUGCCUGGGUCAGGAUGAUCCAGGACGUGUUUCUUCCAGCCGCAGCAGAGCGCCGACUCCGCCGCCAGUGUCAGAGCAGAGGAAAUGGUGUCCGAAAACGAUAUCUAUGUGUCUGCCGACGAAGGGCCGGCAGAUCCACGCCAUGGUGACCAAGGAGAAGGCUCGCACGAGGACCUCCGGCCUGAGCCUGACGCCCUCCCUCCCGGUGGGCCAGGUCACGCCGCCCGAGCCCUCCGACGCGCCCGUCAUCACCAUAGGAGGGCACACCUACGAGGAGGUCGAGGUCAUGCAGAACAAGCCCAGCCCCACCAAGCCGCCCCGCCCGAGCCAAAAUAAAUUCCCGAACGACAGCUCCUCCUCCGCCGAGAGCCUUUCGGCGGCGCCUGUGCCCAUCGCCUUCGCCAACAUCAAGUCCCCGCGUACCAGCAGCGUCUCCGGGGG